ensembl:lncRNA
CUCAUUUAAGGUUUGGCAGUGGAGGCCAAGCUGUCUUGCUGGAGGUCCCUGUGUACCUUGAGGCUUUUGGAAGGGAAAAAGCCCGAGGAGUCCAUGGCUCUCAGAGUAGAAUGGCUGAGGUGAAUCCUGAAAGAGCUUCAGAUGUGGUCAUCUCACCACAGCUGUACGUCUGUCCUGCAGCAGCAGGGAAUCUGUUUUAUUUAGGUUGCCUUCUUGCUGCUUCCCGGAGUGGACAACUGAUAGUUUCUAAUGGAGUACUCAACUUCUAGCAUCCUUGUUUUGGAUUCCUCGGUUGGAACUGCCUGAAGCUGGCUAUUAUUUUUCUCUAAUCCAUCUGAUAUAUUGAAAAUAUAUAUAUUGAAGAAGAGAAAUCACACUGGGAAGCAGAAGUUGCUGUAAAGGGGAGAGGUUCUGCAACUGACUCACUGGAAAAGGGGGAGAACAGUGCACAAAAGAACCUGCGGAUAUCCUGGUGGAUUUCAGGUAGGAGAUGAAACACACAACACAUAUCUUGCUGUAACUGCAUGGUAAUUUCUGUGCUGUGCUGUGGGAAAAAUGCCAAUUGAUCCUUAUAGCAUUCUGUUUUGUCUGUGCAAGAAUGCUACAAAGCCUUUAUGACAUCUAGAUAUACCCUUGCUUACCUGUCCUUCACACCUGUCUCCUUGGGGCUCCUCUUUCCAUGUUCCUUAGAGCUCAAAUACAAACACUGUGACAGAGUUCAGAACUCUGAGUUUGUGUCCAUGCAACAACAGCACUGGUAGAAUGUCUGAAGGAUCCUUGGCACCGUCAGGAGUGCAGGAAAUGAAACCUGGAUCCAAUAGGAGCACUUGGAAGGGCCUUGCAUCUUCCUUGAUUCAAUCUUUGACCGUUGUCAGAAAGCCGUAAGUGCCUGAUCUAUUUCAUUUCCUUUUCACUCAUUUAUGCUCACUUUAGACCCAAUAACAACAACAGCCAAAUUAAAUUACUUUCUGCUGAGCUCUGUCCUGGAGAUCUAGGGCAGUUCCCCUUUGCCAUGCAGGUAAAUC